GACGAACGCUGGCGGCGUGCUUAACACAUGCAAGUCGAACGGAAAGGCCCUGCUUUUGUGGGGUGCUCGUGUGGCGAACGGGUGAGUAACACGUGAGUAACCUGCCCUUGCCUUUGGGAUAACUUCAGGAAACUGGGUCUAAUACCUGAUAGGAGCUCCUGCUGCAUGUUGGGGGUUGGUAUGUUUCGGCGGUUGGGGAUGGACUCGCGGCUUAUCCGCUUGUUUGUGGGGUAGUGGCUUACCAAGGCUUUGACGGGUAGCCGGCCUGAGAGGGUGACCGGCGAAAAGGGGACUGAGAUACGGAGCAGAAUGCAACGGGAGGCAGCAGGGGGGAAUAUUGCACAAUGGGCGGAAGCCUGAUGAAGAAACGCAGCGUGCGGGAUGACGGCCUUCGGGGUGUAAACCGCUUUCGCCUGUGACGAAGCGUGAGUGACGGUAAUGGGUAAAGAAGCACCGGCUAACUACGUG
rnacentral:rRNA from 1 species